rnacentral:rRNA from 1 species
UGCAAGUCGAACGCGAAAGUUCCCUUCGGGGGGCGAGUAGAGUGGCGCACGGGUGAGUAACACGUAGGUAAUCUACCUUUGGAUGGGGAAUAACAACCGGAAACGGUUGCUAAUACCGCAUAAUGCAGCGGCACCUAAUGGUGACAGUUGUUAAAGCGGGGGAUCGAAAGACCUCGCGUCUGAAGAGGAGCCUGCGGCAGAUUAGCUAGUUGGUAAGGUAACGGCUUACCAAGGCUAUGAUCUGUAGCCGGCCUGAGAGGGCGGUCGGCCACACUGACACUGACAUACGGGUCAGACUCCUACGGGAGGCAGCAGUCGGGAAUUUUGGGCAAUGGGCGCAAGCCUGACCCAGCAACGCCGCGUGAAGGAUGAAAUCCUUCGGGAUGUAAACUUCGCAAGAACGGGAAGAAUAAGUAAGGGUUAAUAUCUCUUAUGAUGACGGUACUGUUUGUAAGCUCCGGCUAACUCCGUGCCAGCAGCCGCGGUAAUACGGGGGGAGCAAGCGUUGUUCGGAUUUACUGGGCGUAAAGGGCGCGUAGGCGGCCACCGCAAGUCGACUGUGAAAUCUCCGGGCUUAACCCGGAAAGGUCAGCCGAUACUGCGGGGCUAGAGUGCAGAAGGGGCAACUGGAAUUCUCGGUGUAGCGGUGAAAUGCGUAGAUAUCGAGAGGAACACCUGCGGCGAAGGCGGGUUGCUGGGCUGACACUGACGCUGAAGCGCGAAAGCUAGGGGAGCGAACGGGAUUAGAUACCCCGGUAGUCCUAGCCUUAAACGAUGAAUGCUUGGUGUCUGGGGUUUUAUAGUCCCCGGGUGCCGUCGCUAACGCUUUAAGCAUUCCGCCUGGGGAGUACGGUCGCAAGACUG